AUAUAAGAGACAGUGAAAUCAGCACUAUGCAUGUCACCAACAGAAAGUAAAUAAGAGUAUCAAAUACUAUAACAAGUACCUACAAAUUUGCAAAAGAACGAUCCAACUUGCAAAAAAGAUUCUUAAAUUCGAAAAACUAUUGUCGCUUGGGGGAAAACAAUGAUAACCAAGAACUCACAGUCCCUAAAGUCAGCAAAGCUUUAUUUAUAUAAGACCUUUCUUUGCGCCAAACCACUGGUUUCAGCCUUUGAGCUCUCAGAACCUGCCAGGUCAAUGAGGUUCUGCAAAUAUAUGUGAAAGUGAAAUUAUGGUCAGUUGUUCAUCUUUAAGUGUUCAGACAGUGCAAUAAUAAACAGUUUGUCAGAGUUAAUGAAACAGUAAGCUAUUACCGAACAUAAAAUCACUUGAUAAAAAGAAAAGAUGUUAUAGCAGCUCCACUUUCAUUAUUGUCAACCAAUGUAUUGACCAUGGGUGUCAUAAGAGAAAAGUUCUACUAGGUUGCAAAGUGUGUAAAGCAGAGAACUAACCUAAAGAAUGCAACUAUAAGCUAACUACAGUAAAAGUAAAGGUUUUAUAGGGUCAACAGAACGACACUAGAUACAUGCAUAAUGUGAGUUUGAUUGCCUGUCUGGGACCUCACUCAAGCAUAAACCAAUGUUAACAAUCCACAGAACAAACAUAUCAAACAAAGUGACUGUGACAUUUUCUUUGGAAUGCAAAGCCUUAGGUGGUACCUGUAUAAUGUAAUUGUGGCUUGCUAUGGCUAUCCACAGAUGUCUUUGGAUAAAGUUUUGAAAACGAGGUUGUUGAAGAUACAGGGGAAUCACAAAGGCUUUAACUUGCUUAAUCCAGCAGUUGUAUACUUUGAUACUUGUUUAGAUCCUAUCACAAACGAAAUUCCAACUUCCGGUGACUGAAAAAAAAGAUGCAAGUACAAAACUUUAUCAAAUAAUAAGAGCUAGUAACAAGUAUACUAUUGCAUUUUUUUUUGAGUUUUUAAGCCAAUCAGAAGGCUCUAUUUCGUACCCACUCGCAGAAAGAGCGCGUUGAGCAAGUGAGGGCGAUUCUGUGGGUAAACCCCUUUCCAAUUCAUGACUUUUUUUAUCGACGCACAUCUCUCCAAAUUCUCCAUCGCGUGACUCUUUUAGUUAUUUUCAACAAAACCAAUAAAACCGAACCGAAAUCAGUUUUAAUUUCAAAACCAAUACAAACCAAACCGAAUCAGCAAAUAGUGUGAAGCAACAAUUCUGGACAGAAAAUUUAUCAACAUCUCAACAACGGGAAAAAGAGAAAACACCACAACUCAAAAUCACAAAUCAUAGAAAAAUAUCCAAAAAAAUCACAGUAGCCUUUGAUUAAACUUUCAAAUUGCAAAAAUCUCAGAAUCAAAGCCAAGAAGAAUCCUGAAGAUUUCUAUUUCCAUGGCAUCCAAUGGAGGAAGAAGAACAAUCUACUGCUUCAAUUAAACAUGAAAAACGACUCAAAGAGCUUAGCUUUACUAGUUUUAGUAAAAUUUCUCGGCAACAAAGUCAAAACAGACAUGAACACAUAAAAAAGAUACUAAAACAGAACUGUAUAUUCGACAAGAACAAGGACGAUUUGCAAUAAUUAAACAGAUUAGACUCACCAGUUGAAAUCUAAAAGCAUGAAUCUAGUUGUGAGCUCUUCGUGUUUGCCCCCCUUUAUUAUCUUUCUUGACAAGCAUAUUCAACUAGUUCCUUAAACAAACAAAUUUGGUUCAAAUUCUAUAUGAACAAAAGGCUUCGUAUAUCCUCGAUCAUGAGA
rnacentral:sRNA from 1 species